rfam:Dipodomys ordii contig_33243, whole genome shotgun sequence.
GGGAAUGUGUCUUAGUGGUAGAGUGCUUGCCUAGAACGCAUGAAGCUCUGGGUUCCAUUCCUUGGUACCCC